rnacentral:rRNA from 1 species
CCCUGCCAUUUGUACACACCGCCCGUCGCUCCUACCAAUUGGAGAAAGAAGUGAAGUGGAUGGAUGAAUUGCUUCGGCGAUUUGCAGAAAUCCCCUGAACUUCUUUCUCUGUAGGAAGGAGAAGUCGUAACAAG